UUUGACCUUAUCAAGGAAUUUAUUUUAUGUAUUUAUGGAGCUAGAUUGGAAGAGAUAAAAAAUAGAGAUGAUUUCUUUUUAAAAUGACAGAGCAUUUUAACCAAGUAUUUGGAGCAUUUUUUUAACAGGCCUGAGACAGAGCUGUUCUGGUCUGCAGUGCAGCUCAGUGCCGCUCACUUACUUCUGUCAGUCUGGUGUGAAGCGUAGGAAACCCUUUUCUCCUGCACCUGUUUCUGUGGCUGUAGUGCGCUGGUUUGAGCAAGUCACCAUGGGCAUAGUUCCUAUGUCACACAGCGAAGAACAUUAUCAACUUCCAUUGAAGUGUGACCUGUAUUUGGGAACUCAGCCACAAUUCCCCCAAGCCACAUAACGUGGAGGGUCACGAGAGGGCUAUUUCAGUCAAGUGGGACUCAACUUCUUUGGCUGAAGGAUCUUCUCUUGCUUCUGUUUCACGACUCAUCAUUUCUGCAGACAGAGUAACAGGAUGAGUUAAGAAUGACUGAGGGCUUGGACUGGUACAGAGUUACUGGAGCUUUUUACCAGCAGGUGCCUGACUUGGGUUCUAACGUAGGCAAAAGGCUUGCAUCCUGGUGACUGCACGGUGCCCUGCCCGAAGCGGUAGGUGUUUGAGCCCUGUCCCAGCUCUGCUCUGAAGACCAGCAGUACCUCUGGGAGUCCCGUGAAAGCCCAUGCAGAGAGGCCAUAAAUUGCAAAGGCAAGAAAGCUGAAUUAGUGCUUUGAGAAGUCCCUGGGUGCAAGAGGUAGAAUGUUCUGGUAAAGGGAACUUGCGUUCCUGUCAGUGUGCCAGUUAUGUGGUUUUAGUAGUAGGCUGUCUCCAGGACUGGCGAUCCCACUUCUUUCACGAGUAUUCAUGUCAGAGAAGGAAUAUAAUGCCAGGAUUGUGGGAAGAAAACUCCACUAUUCUCAAGCACACCUUCUAUUUUUAACUCUGAAAUUUCUGUGGUGGAAGCCUUUUCGCCAAGUAGUUGAGCACGUCUAUACGUACAAACUAAGACUUGGUGCCUUUUUAUCUCGGCGAUGGUGAGCUUCUCCACACAGCAGUGUGAUUUAGAUCUCAUUUACACAAGAAAUUAGCUUUGUUAAUGCAUUACCAGGCACUGGGUAGUGCAAGUAAUGUGUUUGCACAUAACACACAAAGGAGUUGACUUUCACGGCGUUUCUACAGAGACAUCUUCUUGUGGGAGGUGUGUGUUAGUGUGUGUGAGGUUUGUUUCUUCUGCUGGUUGCUUUAUGUCCCAGAUAAAAGAUCUGCUCAUUACUAUACUUUGCCAUUUCAGGACAAUCUCCAGCAGCUACCGCGAUUAGAAACGGAUUGCUUGGUCAUUCUUUGUGUUCUUAGUCCUGAAGUUUGUGCCCUGUACUCUUUAGGAGGUGCUAAGUUUGUUGAAUAAACCUUCUUUAACUGUGGCCUUUUUCUGUGGCUUUCAAGGGAACGGCUGUAGAAAACGGAUGGUUAUCUUGAUCUUGGUUGUCACAAGUUGGGGAAAAUGUCAUCUGUAAAUAUUUAAUGAGCCUCUGUGCAACUGACCUGAUCGAGAACCGAGUAAUGAUGCAGUCGCAGGAGUCGCAGCUUCAGUAACCCAGAUCUGCAAGGAAAAGACAGCACCUUUCCUUUGCUAGGUUUUCUGUGACUUAUUAGGCUUCUGUUAUUGUUAGGUUUUUUUCUUUGAUAUCGAAAGUAAGUGGUGUUUGUUUGGAGCUCUGCCUUAACAGCCUCUUCUUUAUUAGCUAGUUUGGUUUUCUGUGUGGGUUUCCUAUAUGUUUUUUCUGCGUGGGCUUUCUGCUUCUUGCAAAAAGGCAACUGAAUGCUCAGUAAAAAAAAAAAAAGCUGAGCUCUCCUCUCCCCUCAGCCCUAUCUCUGCAGACAAUAAACCCCCACCUUUAUAUCUUC